UGGGUACUACGAGCGAGUGCUUAAAACUCAAAGAACUUGGCGGCUUGUUAACUACCUAGGGGAAUAUGCGCCUUAAUCCGAUGGUCCCCGCAACAUCUUACUGGAUCUUGAAAAAGUGCAGUUGGUGUAUUGCCGUUGUCAGCUUGUUGUUCGAGCAAGGAAAAACAGGCUUAAUGGGUCUCUAGUGAUUAGGGUCACGAGAAUCCGUGAAUUCAGGUCGUAAUGCUGCCUACGGUCCAAGGGAGUGGGUAUUACAAUUUAUAUUUAAAAUUACGGAUCUUUAUUGUGAAACUUUAGGGAAGAAGG
rnacentral:rRNA from 1 species